AUCACAAAAAUAAUGUAUAGCUUAAAUACGUAAAUACCUGAAGCAGCUUGUUGCGGCUCCCGACCCGCUGGGUGCCGCAGCCGUACCUGACCGGCACGGUCUCACCGACACCACAAACUUAAGCGAGCCGGUUGCCGCUUCGCUGCCUUCUCUGGGCAUGGCACCCAAAUCAAAGAUGGCGCGGACCACGUGGUCGCGUCCAUCUUAAGCUCCGCCCCUCUAAUACAAACGUGCGCAUGAUGUCAAGACGUCUACGCAUGCGCACGUUCUGGGGUCAGAGGUCACCCUCUGACCAAUCAGAAGCCAGAGAGGGAUAUUUAAAUCCCUAAUUCACUUUACUUCCUUGCCCUGUCGUGGUUUCCUGUUCCUGGUUCCCGAGAGUGCGUUUAUCUUUGUGAAACUGAUAUUCUGGUAUCCUGAUUGGAUUUGUCUUUUCCCUGGUUAUUCCGAAUUCUGGUUCCCCUGACUUGGCUUGUGUAAACGGUAUUUGAGUAUUUCUUCCUUGACCUCAGCUUUCCCUUUAACCAUUCUUUAUCUCUAGCGUAUUAGUCCGGACAUUCUAAGGUCUGGUGUACGCUCUGUCCUUUUAUUUUCCUUUUCUUUUGUAUGUAUAUAUUUACAUAGUUUCUGCGUGUUGGACCACACUAGCUGCCGGGACAUUAUGACAGGGCCAUGGUUCCUGCGGAACUAUGUAAACAUAUGAUUGCCUGUGAGAAUAGGGUGGAGGAUAUGGACUACAGGUUAGAUCAGUUUGCCCAAGCAUUCCAGACCUUGCUCCAGAGAACUGCCUAUCUGGAGGCACCUCCUGUACCACCUGUGAUUCCACCACCUGUGGUAGCACCGGUGGCACACAAACCACCGUCCAUAACCCUUUCACCUCCCACUCGUUUUGGGGGUGAUUCUAAAGAAUUUAGAGGUUUUUUUAAACCAAAUCGAAUACCACUUCGAAGCUGCCCCUGGUUCAUUCUCUACAGAUAGAUCGAAGAUUGGCUAUCUAAUGAACCAAUUAACGGGUAAGGCUUUAACCUGGGCUAAUCCCUCAUGGGAGAGUGGGAAUCCAGUAGCCCGUGAUUACAACGUAUUUCUAGCAGCAUCUAAAGCUACUUUUAAGCCAAAAGGGAGAGAAAAGAACGCUGCCAGAGCCCUAAUGAGAAUAAAACAAGGCAAUCGCUCUGUACCUGACUACGCCAUUGAGUUUAGAACUUUGGCGUCUGAGGUUGACUGGCCAAUAGCGGUCUAGUGGCUGCCUUCUCCGAAGGCCUAGCGGAGAAUAUACAAGACGAGACCACAGCCAGAGAUCUUCCGGUUACCCUUAAUGACUUUAUUGCCUACAUGAUAGAUAUUGACAACAGGCUCAGAGAAAGAGAGAAAAACAAACGUACUAGACGUUCUACCUUAUCCAUAGUCCCUCUCUAACCCAGUGGUAAUUAACCAUGCCCCACCUCCAGAACCAGAACCCAUGCAACUGGGCAUUACAAAACUCACUGAGGCAGAGAGACAAUACAGACGCAACGAGGGGUUAUGUUUAUAUUGUGGCAAAAGAGGACAUCAAAGAUUUUCAUGUCCGGUUCGGCCGGAAAAAUUGCGCACCUAAGGCACGUUCGGGGACCGACCUUAGGUGUGAUGUAUAUGUUCCCUAAAUUGACUAAGAACCGUUUCCUUAUAAGAGUUACUUUAUCUUGUAAGAAAACAGCUGUACAGUGUGAGGCUAUGAUUGACUCUGGGGCAGAGGAGAAUUUUCUAGACAAGGAAUGCUCUGCUAAAUAUCUCCUGCCCUUAAGGCAGAAAGAGAGAUCCAUAGCAGUGGAGGCCAUCGAUGGGAGACCCCUUACCCAGCCUCUCAUCACGCACGAAACCCUGCCAAUCACUGUCUCAGUGGGUAUUCUACAUUCUGAGGAAAUGGUUUUUCAAAUUAUAUCCUCACCCACAUGUCCGAUCAUACUCGGUUUUCCUUGGCUCCAGAAACACAAUCCACGUUUAGAAUGGGUUGAAGGCGAAAUCGUGAGUUGGGGUGAGAGAUGCAGAGGUCUUUUUUAAAAGCAGCUGCCACAACCUACUGGUACUAUCAAUAUACCUAUAGCGCCUCCCCUAACCACAGAAAUCCCACCCCAAUAUUUUGACCUACAGGAGGUAUUCAACAAAGUUCAGUCAGAAAUACUACCACCACAUAGACCCUACGACUGUACCAUAAACUUGUUACCAGGUACUAUGCCUCCCAAAGGAGGAGUAUAUGCACUAUCUCCUCAAGAAAAUCUAUCUUUAGAAGAGUAUAUAAAGGAUGCUCUCAGAAAGGGUCACAUACGUAGAUCCUCUUCACCUGCUGGGGCUGGGUUCUUCUUCGUUUCUAAAAAAGAAGGAGUCCUACGUCCUUGUAUAGACUAUAGGGGUUUGAAUAGGAUAACAAUAAAAACGCCUAUCCCAUUCCCCUUAUUUCUGAGUUAUUCGACAGGUUGAAAGGAGCCCGAGUCUUCACUAAGCUCGACCUCAGAAGUGCUUAC